rnacentral:rRNA from 1 species
UUUUAUGAGAGUUUGAUCCUGGCUCAGGACGAACGCUGGCGGCGUGCCUAAUACAUGCAAGUCGAACGCUUCUUUUUCCACCGGAGCUUGCUCCACCGGAAAAAGAGGAGUGGCGAACGGGUGAGUAACACGUGGGUAACCUGCCCAUCAGAAGGGGAUAACACUUGGAAACAGGUGCUAAUACCGUAUAACAAUCGAAACCGCAUGGUUUUGAUU